GAGUUAGUGACAAGUGUUGACGUAUGAAAGCAUCAAACAUGCAUUUUAGGUGAAGGAGAUGAGAGUAUAUCCAGUUGUUCCAGGGGAAAUAGUUUGUCCAGGA